rnacentral:lncRNA from 1 species
AGGUUCUCGGGAGGAAGAACCCGGCUUCGAGCUUAGGUGUCAGUAGCUCUGCUUUGGUGGUUUCUGGAGGAGCAGGAGGUGGUAAACAAAGCGACAUAAGAUCGCCAUGAGGGCGGUCCAAGUCCAAGAUGAGAGACUUGAGCAAGACUAGAUGUUACCGGUGUGACAAGUUGGGGUGUUUAGCUAGAGAUUGCUCUCAACUCAG